AGAAAGAGAGAGAGAUGCCGAUGGGAAGACAGCACAGGGGAGAGGUAUGGGUGAUGGAUUUCAAAACUGGGAAAGUGGGUUUUGUCUUCUCGGUUUUGACUGAAUUCGAGGGUUGUUGUGUACAGUUUCAUUUGCUGUCCUUGAAUGAGGGUUUCGGGGGGAUGGAGACUCUGAUAGAGAGCGGAAGAAAGAGAGAGAGAGAGAGAGAGAGAGAGAGAGAUGACGAUGGAAAGAGAGCGAAGGGGAGAGGUAUGAGUCAUGGAUUUCAGAAGUGGGAGAGUGGGGAUGGUCAGAGAAAACCAUACAGGUUAUCCGGAUCUACCGCUGCAUGCCUGGAUUUCGAAAGAUAAGUGCUUUUUAAAUUUUUUUUUUUUUUUUUUUUUCUAUCAGCUUGGAAAGAUAAGUGAUUUCGAAAGAUAAGUGGAUUAUUUUCGAAUUUUUUAGUGUGUUAGGUCAGAUUUUGGGGGAAUCAUCAGAGAUAUUAAUUUCCCUUAUUAGUUUGCUUUUCUCUCAUUUUGCACAUUCAUCUCUCUGUCUGCCUGUUUGUUCUCUGUCUUAAGGUCGGUUCUUUUUUUUUUUUUUUUUUUUUUUUUUUUUUGGGGUUUUUUGUAUGGCUUUUUUUUUUUUUUUUUCUUUUUGUUUUCCAGGUUAUAGAUCUAAUGCUCUUUUGUAUACCAAUCUUGGUUUUGUUUUUCUUGGAAAAUUGUUUUUAUCUGAUUGUGGAUUCGUGGGUUUUAAUUUCUAUGGUUUGUUGCAGGUUGCAAAGCAAGAGGUUCUCACCUCAAGAUUCAGUUUAAGACCAUCAUGAGGAUCACCACACCCAUGAUCAUGUUCAUGAUCCUGGCGUUUCUUCUGUCAGCAUAGUUUGUGAAGGGAACUUAGAACUUGAAAAGGUAGGAUCUCUGUUUUGUCGUAUUUUGCAAUAUAUUUGAUAAUUUCUUCUGUGUCUUCCAUGUGGACCUGUUGCCUUUGAAUGAGACAAGUACACAUUUGAGGGCCAGUUGCAUCCAGAGUCUUUGUCCAGGCAUGUAUGAAAGAAAACCUGACAAAGACUACUGAUUUCGUUUUUAUUUUUUCAGGCUAACAUAUGUCUUGGUACACUGUUGUUGAAACGAAGUGAGGACAUAUAUCGUAUGAAAGGUCUUCUAUUAGUUCAAGGAAUGAAAAAGAGAUUUGUCUUCCAGGGUUUAGGUGCUCUGAAAAUGCCCACCCUUAUUUUUUUUACACCAAGUAUAUAUGGCAACCCAGGCAUUCCAACUUGCUCAGGGAAAUACUUCAUUUAAGGAAAAGCCUGAAAUAAUGUUGUCAAGUGCUAUACUGAAGCUAUCAGAUUGAACAUGAUGUGUGCAACUUAGAUUGCAACCAUGCAAUUGCUUACUUGGAGAUUUAUUCUUUACGAUUCGCUGGUUAGGGUAAGCAUUUUGGUGAGCUUUGAUUUUGUGAGGCUCUGGAAACAAUAUAGUUCUUGAGCUAAUGUGAAGAUUUUGGGUUGAACAUUGUGCUGUGAAGAUAUUGGGUUUAAUAUUUGAUUCCGUUUUUCAUUUUGCACUUACAAAAAUAGAGGAUUGUGGUUAAUUAUUGUGAUGUGAAGCUUCUAUUUGAUGUCGACUUAAUGAGUAGCGAUGUAAAUUAAACUACGUAUUUUAUGGAUCAAUUCACAUA